rnacentral:tRNA from 1 species
GUAGCUCAGUCUGGUUAGAGCACCGGCCUUUUAAGCCGGGUGUCGGGGGUUCAAAUCCCCCU